rnacentral:rRNA from 1 species
UGUAUAAUGGGUCAGCGACUUAUAUUCUGUAGCAAGGUUAACCGAAUAGGGGAGCCGAAGGGAAACCGAGUCUUAACUGGGCGUUAAGUUGCAGGGUAUAGACCCGAAACCCGGUGAUCUAGCCAUGGGCAGGUUGAAGGUUGGGUAACACUAACUGGAGGACCGAACCGACUAAUGUUGAAAAAUUAGCGGAUGACUUGUGGCUGGGGGUGAAAGGCCAAUCAAACCGGGAGAUAGCUGGUUCUCCCCGAAAGCUAUUUAGGUAGCGCCUCGUGAAUUCAUCUCCGGGGGUAGAGCACUGUUUCGGCAAGGGGGUCAUCCCGACUUACCAACCCGAUGCAAACUGCGAAUACCGGAGAAUGUUAUCACGGGAGACACACGGCGGGUGCUAACGUCCGUCGUGAAGAGGGAAACAACCCAGACCGCCAGCUAAGGUCCCAAAGUCAUGGUUAAGUGGGAAACGAUGUGGGAAGGCCCAGACAGCCAGGAUGUUGGCUUAGAAGCAGCCAUCAUUUAAAGAAAGCGUAAUAGCUCACUGGUCGAGUCGGCCUGCGCGGAAGAUGUAACGGGGCUAAACCAUGCACCGAAGCUGCGGCAGCGACGCUUAUGCGUUGUUGGGUAGGGGAGCGUUCUGUAAGCCUGUGAAGGUGUACUGUGAGGUAUGCUGGAGGUAUCAGAAGUGCGAAUGCUGACAUAAGUAACGAUAAAGCGGGUGAAAAGCCCGCUCGCCGGAAGACCAAGGGUUCCUGUCCAACGUUAAUCGGGGCAGGGUGAGUCGACCCCUAAGGCGAGGCCGAAAGGCGUAGUCGAUGGGAAACAGGUUAAUAUUCCUGUACUUGGUGUUACUGCGAAGGGGGGACGGAGAAGGCUAUGUUGGCCGGGCGACGGUUGUCCCGGUUUAAGCGUGUAGGCUGGUUUUCCAGGCAAAUCCGGAAAAUCAAGGCUGAGGCGUGAUGACGAGGCACUACGGUGCUGAAGCAACAAAUGCCCUGCUUCCAGGAAAAGCCUCUAAGCAUCAGGUAACAUCAAAUCGUACCCCAAACCGACACAGGUGGUCAGGUAGAGAAUACCAAGGCGCUUGAGAGAACUCGGGUGAAGGAACUAGGCAAAAUGGUGCCGUAACUUCGGGAGAAGGCACGCUGAUAUGUAGGUGAAGCGACUUGCUCGUGGAGCUGAAAUCAGUCGAAGAUACCAGCUGGCUGCAACUGUUUAUUAAAAACACAGCACUGUGCAAACACGAAAGUGGACGUAUACGGUGUGACGCCUGCCCGGUGCCGGAAGGUUAAUUGAUGGGGUUAGCGGUAACGCGAAGCUCUUGAUCGAAGCCCCGGUAAACGGCGGCCGUAACUAUAACGGUCCUAAGGUAGCGAAAUUCCUUGUCGGGUAAGUUCCGACCUGCACGAAUGGCGUAAUGAUGGCCAGGCUGUCUCCACCCGAGACUCAGUGAAAUUGAACUCGCUGUGAAGAUGCAGUGUACCCGCGGCAAGACGGAAAGACCCCGUGAACCUUUACUAUAGCUUGACACUGAACAUUGAGCCUUGAUGUGUAGGAUAGGUGGGAGGCUUUGAAGUGUGGACGCCAGUCUGCAUGGAGCCGGCCUUGAAAUACCACCCUUUAAUGUUUGAUGUUCUAACGUUGGCCCCUGAUCGGGGUUGCGGACAGUGUCUGGUGGGUAGUUUGACUGGGGCGGUCUCCUCCUAAAGAGUAACGGAGGAGCACGAAGGUUGGCUAAUCCUGGUCGGACAUCAGGAGGUUAGUGCAAUGGCAUAAGCCAGCUUGACUGCGAGCGUGACGGCGCGAGCAGGUGCGAAAGCAGGUCAUAGUGAUCCGGUGGUUCUGAAUGGAAGGGCCAUCGCUCAACGGAUAAAAGGUACUCCGGGGAUAACAGGCUGAUACCGCCCAAGAGUUCAUAUCGACGGCGGUGUUUGGCACCUCGAUGUCGGCUCAUCACAUCCUGGGGCUGAAGUAGGUCCCAAGGGUAUGGCUGUUCGCCAUUUAAAGUGGUACGCGAGCUGGGUUUAGAACGUCGUGAGACAGUUCGGUCCCUAUCUGCCGUGGGCGCUGGAGAACUGAGGGGGGCUGCUCCUAGUACGAGAGGACCGGAGUGGACGCAUCACUGGUGUUCGGGUUGUCAUGCCAAUGGCACUGCCCGGUAGCUAAAUGCGGAAGAGAUAAGUGCUGAAAGCAUCUAAGCACGAAACUUGCCCCGA